AUUGAACGCUGGCGGCAGGCCUAACACAUGCAAGUCGAACGAGUGGCGGACGGGUGAGUAAUGUCUGGGCAACUGCCUGAUGUAGGGGUCUAACUACUGGAAACGGUAGCUACUACCGCAUACCAUCAGAUGUGCUCAGAUGGGAUUAGCUGGGUGGUGGGGUAACGGCUCACCAAGGCGACGAUCCCUAGCUGGUCUGAGAGGAUGACCAGCCACACUGGGACUGAGACACGGCCCAGACUCCUACGGGAGGCAGCAGUAGGGAAUCUUCGGCAAUGGACGAAAGUCUGACCGAGCAACGCCGCGUGUAUGAAGAAGGCCUUCGGGUUGUAAAGCACUGUCAGCGGGGAGGCGUUACCCGAAGAAGAAGCACCGGCUAACUCCGUGCCAGCAGCCGCGGUAAUUC
rnacentral:rRNA from 1 species